GAGUUUGAUCUUGGCUCAGAGUGAACGCUGGCGGCAGGCCUAACACAUGCAAGUCGAGCGGCAGCGCGGGGGCAACCCUGGCGGCGAGCGGCGGACGGGUGAGGAAUACAUCGGAAUCUACCCAGUCGUGGGGGAUAACGUAGGGAAACUUACGCUAAUACCGCAUACGACCUGAGGGUGAAAGCAGGGGACCGCAAGGCCUUGCGCGAUUGGAUGAGCCGAUGUCCGAUUAGCUAGUUGGUGAGGUAAAGGCUCACCAAGGCGACGAUCGGUAGCUGGUCUGAGAGGAUGAUCAGCCACACUGGAACUGAGACACGGUCCAGACUCCUACGGGAGGCAGCAGUGGGGAAUAUUGGACAAUGGGCGCAAGCCUGAUCCAGCCAUGCCGCGUGUGUGAAGAAGGCCUCGGUUGUAAG
rnacentral:rRNA from 1 species